GUCUGGAUAGCUCAGUGAUUUAGAGCAGUUGCGUGGAAAACAAAAGAAAAACUCGAGUUCGAUUUCCGAUCCAGCCA
rnacentral:tRNA from 1 species